GGAACAGGCCAGUCUCCAGGUGGGGGCAGGCCAGCCGUCUCCCGCCAGCUCAUCCUGCCUCCCCCGUCAGCCUCCCCACAGCCGAGGGCACACCCCGGAUAUGUGGGGAUGGGACAGUGUGGCCCGCCUCAGCUCCCCAAGGCCCUCCCUCCAGUGUGUCUACAGUGUCCUGAGAUUGGAAGCUGGCUCAGGCAUGGGGAAUGAGGCACUCAGGGGACCCUGGGUGGCUGGGCCACAGAAGAAAAUGUCCGCCAGACCCCCACACCCUGGCCAGUGAGCGGAGGCUGCCCCCUCCCCCUGUGCCAGGAGCAGAGCUGGCCCCUGGUGCAGGGUGCUCGGGCCAGCAGCCCACUGAACCCCAGGGGAAGUUGGCUCGGAC
rnacentral:lncRNA from 1 species